UGAAUCCAAAGAAUUUGCAAAUCACUGUACAAUAAUUUAAUAACAUAUUCGAAUAGCCUGAUGCCUGGCACUGAGAGAAAGAUCUCACCACUAAUGAAAUACAAGAAAUUUGGUCAUUUCCAUUUCCAGUCGCAAUAACAACCUGAUCUUUACUUUUGUUGAUAUACUUUUGUUUACACCAAAUCGUCUAUUGCAAUUUAUGAUGUUCAUUUGUAUAUAAUGAGGGUUCUGCACCUGUUGUUUGUUACAGGCUGAGAUAAAAACACAGUAGAAAUGAACAUGAAGGAAAAAUCAACCAUGUGGUCCACAGACUGUUUUGACAAUAUCAAGACUGAGAAAGACAUGCCUCUCCUCGGAAGUAGAGUGACGCCUGGUCCAAACUGGAUGUGGGACGAUCAGAGCGCAGGGGGUGCAGGGACAGUCAUCAACCAUGCUACGAAUAAGCGUAUGUCAUUUCAUGUUUACGAGGUACACAGGAUCAGGUAUCCACUGACAAGUCUACAACAUAUGUUAUCAGUGCUUUUGAUGAAUAUGUUUUUAUUUUUUGUUUUUAUUUUUGUGUGCUCACGUCUCUUUUACAUACAGCACUUAUGAAUAGAACAACUGUAAAGCUUAUUAUGAUUCUUAAGGAACUAUUUCCCACUACAUUUGUGUACGAUAACAAUAUGCCUUCUCAUUCUUGUUAAAUAGUUCUAUUUCAAAGUUGAUAUAGAAACACUUCAUUUUCAGUGCAAAUUUGGGUCAUUUGGGAUAGUGGCAGCCACAAUUUAUACCGUUACAGUUCAAUGACCGGCUACGAUGUGCUGAUUGUAGACGAUUAACCCCGGAUACCUUCUCACAAUGUAAACAUUGGUAUAGGGGUGCAAGUUGAAAGAGGUCCUAACUGGCCGAAGUCUUAUUGGAAUCAGGAUGGCGGACCAGGCAGUCAUGGAUACGUUAAAAGAAAAAGGGAAGGUAGAGUGAAGAGACCGCCGCACGAACAGUUCCCACGAUGGAGAAAGUCAUGAUUCUGUUGCUGCUUGCUACAAUUUCUGCUGUUACCCUAGCAUUUACAGAUGAAAAUCACUGCCUAUAUGGUGGCGUGAUGUACAUGAGAGGUGCUCGUUUGCCGUCAACCGACGGUUACAAUAGUUGUAUGUGUUUUGGAAUGAACGAAGUGGUCUGUACUAGGAGGUCUUGCACUCCAAGAAAAAAUUAAUAACUUUAGAGAAAUUUAAAGUAUGCUCAUAAAAUGCAACACCACAUGGAGCAUCGGAAAUGGAGCAAUUGUAAUACCAUCAAUAAAGCCGUGAU